GUUCAGGUGGUCUAAAUUAAGGACGUAACACUGAAGCUGUUAAGGUAGAUUUUCAUCUCCUGGACA
rnacentral:tRNA from 1 species